GUUCCCAUCGAUUAGUGGUCAGAUCAUCACGUUGUGGCCGUGGGGACGGGGGCUCGAAUCCCCCUGGGAACA
rnacentral:tRNA from 2 species